UAAAAAUUGUUUAGAGAUUGUUGUAUUUGAAGAUAUAUUAAAUUAUGUAUACUAUUUAUCUACGUAUCUGUGGUAUAAUUUCUCUUCGUGUGCAGCUGAUCGCUUUUCCGCUGCAACAGAGCUCGAUACGAGUUAAGAAGAAUUGAUCUCUUCCGACCGGAGAAAUAUUGUACCCAAAUCUGUGUACUAUGCGCGUCGCUUGAACAUCAGGAACCACGAUAUUUUAUCCGGUAAUAACUAUACAUACACUGUAGGUA